CACGCAGGCGGCUUGGUGUGUCCGGUGUGAAAUCCCUCGGCUCAACCGAGGAACUGCGCCGGAAACUGCCAGGCUUGAGGGCCGGAGAGGUGAGUGGAACUCCAGGUGUAGCGGUGAAAUGCGUAGAUAUCUGGAGGAACGCCGGAGGCGAAAGCGACUCACUGGACGGUUCCUGACGCUGAGGUGCGAAAGCCAGGGGAGCGAACG
rnacentral:rRNA from 1 species